ACCUCUUUUUCUUCUUAUCCCAGCCGCUGCGAUAAAAUCGAAGAGAGAGUGCAGUGCAGAUAAAUUCUUUUCAAAACCCUACUAGCAAAAUCAGAUCUGAACCAAUUACCAAACCAUUCAGUAAAAGGUGAUCUUUAAACUCCAUCAUCCCAUUUGUAAGUGUUUCUGAAAUAUGUAGUUUGAUUUUAAUUUCAGGCUUAAGAUUUUGAUUCGUUAUCCUCUUCUCUGGUUCUGGAAUUGAUUUUGAAUUAGAAAAUGAAGAAGUUGAAAUUACAGGUUUUACAUCUAAAUCUCUAGGUUAUGCUGUUCAUGUGUAUGAUUCUCCUUGUAAUGGUUAUUGUUGUAUAAAGAUAUGAGGCUUCUUAGUUUUCGGAAGCCAUCCAGUAAAGAAUACCACAAAUUGUCUCCUUAGGUCCUUAACCAGUUUCAAUGCUAUUUGAGUCGAACCCUACUGAGACAAAUAUGGGAAUUUGAAAUUGGGUUCUGAAAAGGCAUCACUUCUGUCACAAACUUUGCAAGUUAAAUGAUGCAAGCAUGAAGAGACUACAUGAUCUAUGGAAUGAAGACAUAUUGUCAGUAUCUUGUGGCUUCGUAAAUUACAAUCACUGUUUAGAAUAUAGACAGAUGUUUCUCUUGAAAGUAAGGCUCAUUUGGGUUGUAGAAUCUAAAGAUAUUCAAAACCAGAUUGGAAAUAAAUUGGGAUGUGUUUAAGAUUUUGAAUUAUACUGUUGCAUUCUGAUCUAGUAGUGAAAACAAUUUCUUCUUUUUUAAGGUAUAAAAGAAAAGAAAAAAAAGAAAAGAAAAGAAAAGAUGAAGUUGUAUCCACUUUUCGAUGAGAAUGCAUGUGUGGGAUAAUGGAAGCUGGUAAGAAACUGUUUUAAUCUGGAGGAAGCUUGAAAUCCGGUUCAAGAAAAGGGUAAGCAAGAAGCUCUAAGUUGACAUCAAGAUGUACCUAAUGUUGCCUAAGAAGUCAUUGAAGAAUGUUGCAUCAAGCUUUCAUCUAUGUUGGUUGAACUGUUGGUAGCACAAAGACUACGAAAGUGGCAACACAUUUCAUUUCAGGAGCCAUUAGCCAUACAAUAACAGGGUCUGAGAGCAGUUGGCUAUUUAAGGAUGUGUUACCAAUUGAGUAGGGUUGUUAAGCGGUGGUACUCUGGUAUAUGUCUUCCAAAUUCUGUCAUGAAUUCCACCUAACAUCCUAAGUUUUGACAAAAACAGCAAGUUAUAUAAUCUUGCUCUAGGAGAUGCAUGUGUGGGAUAAUGUAAGAUGGUAAGAAAAUUGAAGUUCUAUUUUGAUUUGGAAGAGGCCUGAGUUCGGUUCAUCAAAAGCCCGAGCAAGAAGCUCUAAGUUGACAUCAAGAUGUACGUGAGGUUGGCCAAGAAGUCAUGAAAGAAUGUUGCAUCAAGCUUACAUCAAUAUUGGUCGAACUGUUGGUAGCACAAAGACCAUGAAUGUUGCAAUACGCAGUUCGUUUCAGGUAUAUGCUGGUUUCUCCUUUUAGUUCAGUUAUUUGUCAUGAUAGAUGAUAGUCUUGUUGUGUUAUGUAUUUCUGAUCUCAUCGAUCCCGCCUAUGAAUUUUCCAAUUUCUUUCCAUAUCUCACUGAUACAUUUUGGCGUUUUUCAUUUUAGAACUUCUUUUUAGGUUCGUUUGGUUGUUUUUAGCAAAUGUAUGAUUCACACAGGUUAUCUUACUCGUAUCACAUCCGGGCAUUAUACUAAGGUAGAAAUUUUUUCUGGAAGUUUUGAUAAACAUCUGACCAUCAAUCUCUGUUUGUUAACUAUUUCUGUUUUCAGGAAUGCUCAAACUAUGCUCUUUUAUUAGUUGUUCAGGUGCACUAUCAUUCCAAUGAUUCGGUCUGUUGGAGGUGGUCUUUCUCAAGCAAUGGUGUUUAUUUGGUGAAAAUUGUGAUGUUGGUUUCUUUAAGAUAAGUUUUAUCAAGUAAGAAGCUGCUUGUCCUGCUGCAUUUUGAACCAUUAGGUUCCAUUACAAAACUCUUUGGUAGCAUAAGCAUGUUAUAUAGUAUUGCUUUAAGUGAAUGUCUGCGAAAGUGGUAUUGUGGUUUUAGCAUUUUAGGUAUUGUGGUUUUCAUGCUUCGUGGCUUACGCAGUUUGGCGGUCGAAAGUGCAGACCACCUUUUCUGUCAUUGUUUUUUCACGAACCGAAUCAGGGUUAAAUUACUUCUCAAACAUGGGUGGUGUUGUGGGAGGGCACUUUUUCGGAGAAGGUAUAUCCUCGAACAGCUUAGUUGCAACGCCACAAAUUGAGUCCAUAACUUCUAGAAACCAAUGGUUAACUAAACCCUACAUGUCGAAACUAAACGUUUUUUCUAGCUAUUCAUGUUUUAGCAGCAAUGAGCAAACCGAACAAGAAAUGGGAUUGGUCUGACGGCGAAAUUCAAGUAUUCUUUGGUUGGUCUCUGAGAAAAAGAAAAUGGCAAUAAUGAUUUAAUUUGUGAAAAAAUGGAUUGUAGUAGUACUUCAUAAAUCUUGAAUGCUUUCGCUUAACUGGAUUGUAAUCUCCAAAGCUCUGAUUCAGAAAAAGCUGCACUUAACUACCAUGCAAAUGCUCAAGAUAUACUAAGGUCAGUUAAAUUUGUCUGUCUAUUAUUCGAAUAUUUUUCCUUUAAUGCUAAGUUUUUUUGUCCCAAUAACUUUUUAACUUGUUCAGUUUUGUGACUUUUGUCUGAAGUGAAAGUAUAUUCUGUAUCGAAAGAAAUGCUGACAUAAAUUUUGAAGCUGAAAUUUCUUCUGAGGUGUAUUUAUGUACUUACAGUACCUUGAACCAUUGGGGUCACUUUACAAUCAGAUGAUAGUAAUCUAAAUUCCACAUUGCUUAAAAAAAUUUAGUUGCUUUUUUAGGUUGUGGUAGUGCAGGAUCUCUGCAGCAUAUAUGGGUAGUUAAUCAAGCAGUAUUUAGUUUCUAUAGUUAUCUUUUUUCAUUCAAUCUUGUAUUUCCUUGCUUUUAUUCGUCAUCUUCUUGUUACUUCUCUAGUGAGUAAGAAUUGAGAUUGGGUGGGAUGAGAAACCGUAUAACAGCGGUGUUGCGCUUAUAUUAAAUCUCCACUAAUGAUGUAUCUCUCAGAGGGAUUACAUAUCAAAUUAUAGUUGGCCUGGUAGUGAAUAGGCAUCUGUGAACCUCUGUAAUGGGAGCUUUAACUCCUUUAGUGGUGGCAUCGUGGACUGGGGAGCUUGGUUCUUUUAUUUUUCUGCCUGUAAGUUCCUAUUGGAUCCCCAGGCCUCUUUGAAUUUCUUGUUUCCUCUAUUAACCUUUUAACUAAUAGCAUCGCCAAGUCUGCAGGUUAUUUCAGUGGUGGUUGGAACAAGUCUUCCAGCUUUACUUUAUGAUGCCGAGAGAAUGCAAGUGGAGGACAGGUUGGUGAAAACUUGGUUGUGACCACUUGAAGACGUAUCUUAUGAUGGAUGCUGAAGACAUUCUGGGACGAGAUUCGGAAUGAAAUGAGAUUUCACUAAAGAAUAACGAGGAUGCCUGCCUGUAUCGCCAAGUGAAGACUGGAAUGAGAAGAUGGCACCUCUUUUAGAGCGCCUUUCCUUUUGUUGGAUAUACUUCUGUCUUUUAUGCUUUCUGGAUUUGAUUUUGCAUUUUUUGAUUUGGUAGGUUCAGAUGUACUAAUUGAAGAGAAAGUUUCUGUCUAGAUUUCAAUCUAUAUGUUGUUUGUAUGAAUUACUUGAAUUAUAAAAUCACACUGGAAUAGUGUCCAUAAGGGGAAAAAAACCGUUCUCAGUUGA